rnacentral:rRNA from 1 species
UGAUCCUGGCUCAGAACGAACGCUGGCGGCACGCCUAACACAUGCAAGUCGAGCGCACCUUCGGGUGAGCGGCGGACGGGUUAGUAACGCGUGGGAACAUACCCUUCACUACGGAAUAGCCUCGGGAAACUGAGAGUAAUACCGUAUACGUCCUCCGGGAGAAAGAUUUAUCGGUGAAGGAUUGGCCCGCGUUAGAUUAGAUAGUUGGUGGGGUAACGGCCUACCAAGUCUACGAUCUAUAGCUGGUUUGAGAGGAUGAUCAGCAACACUGGGACUGAGACACGGCCCAGACUCCUACGGGAGGCAGCAGUGGGGAAUCUUAGACAAUGGGCGAAAGCCUGAUCUAGCGAUGCCGCGUGAGUGACGAAGGCCUUAGGGUCGUAAAGCUCUUUCGCCAGGGAUGAUAAUGACAGUACCUGGUAAAGAAACCCCGGCUAACUCCGUGCCAGCAGCCGCGGUAAUACGGAGGGGGUUAG